UACGAAGGGGGCUAGCGUUGUUCGGAAUUACUGGGCGUAAAGCGUAUGCAGGCGGAUCGUUAAGUCGGGGGUGAAAUCCCGAGGCUCAACCUCGGAACUGCCUUCGAUACUGGCGAUCUUGAGUCCGGGAGAGGUGAGUGGAACUCCGAGUGUAGAGGUGAAAUUUCGUAGAUAUUCGGAAGAAACACCAGUGGCGAAGGCGG
rnacentral:rRNA from 1 species